UGGGGAAUAUUGCACAAUGGGCGCAAGCCUGAUGCAGCCAUGCCGCGUGUGUGAAGAAGGCCUUCGGGUUGUAAAGCACUUUCAGCGGGGAGGAAGGCGGUGAGGUUAAUAACCUCACCGAUUGACGUUACCCGCAGAAGAAGCACCGGCUAACUCCGUGCCAGCAGCCGCGGUAAUACGGAGGGUGCAAGCGUUAAUCGGAAUUACUGGGCGUAAAGCGCACGCAGGCGGUCUGUCAAGUCGGAUGUGAAAUCCCCGGGCUCAACCAGGGAACUGCAUUCGAAACUGGCAGGCUAGAGUCUUGUAGAGGGGGGUAGAAUUCCAGGUGGAGCGGUGAAAUGCGUAGAGAUCUGGAGGAAUACCGGUGGCGAAGGCGGCCCCCUGGACAAAGACUGACGCUCAGGUGCGAAAGCGUGGGGAGCAAACAGG
rnacentral:rRNA from 1 species